AGUGAAUAGAUACCCGGGUAGUCCACGCCGUAAACUAUGGAUGCUGGCUGUUACUCGUAUCGACCCGAGUAGUAGCGAAAGCUAACGCGUUAAGCAUCCCGCCUGUGGAGUACGGCCGCAAGGCUAAAACAUAAAGGAAUUGACGGGGACCCGCACAAGCGGUGGAGCGUGUUCUUUAAUUCGAAGGUAAGCGAAGAACCUUACCAGGGUUUGACAUCCUCGGAAUUUCUCCGAAAGGAGAGAGUGCUUUAUUGAACCGAGUGACAGGUGAUGCAUGGCCGUCGUCAGCUCGUGUCGUGAGAUGUUUGGUUAAGUCCAUCAACGAGCGCAACCCUUAUAUUUAGUUGGAUUUUUCUAAAUAGACUGCCCCGGUAACGGGGAGGAAGGAGGGGAUGAUGUCAGGUCAGUAUUUCCCCUUACAUCCUGGGCUAGAAACACGCUACAAUGGCCGGUACAAAGGGCAGCCAAGUCGUGAGACGGAGCAAAUCCCAUCAAAGCCGGUCCCAGUUCGGAUAGCAGGCUGAAAUUCGCCUGCUUGAAGUCGGAAUCGCUAGUAAC
rnacentral:rRNA from 1 species